GCUGUUGGUGGAAGUUGACGCUUUUUCCGGAUCCAGUCGCAUUCCUGUGCUUUAUUUAGACAUAGAGCCAGAAGACGGGGUGUACCAUAUCUUCCUUAUGGAAACCUCGUCAAGAAGUACAAUCACUCCAAGAGCUCUGUGUGUCAUAGAAAGUUGGUGCUCGCUUAACCCGAGUGCGGUUGUCUGGUUUCUGGUG